GACGACGAGGUAGAUAGGUUGGGGGUGGAAGUGCAGUAAUGCAUGGAGCUGACCAAUACUAAUCGGUCGAGGGCUUAUCCUA
rnacentral:rRNA from 1 species